rnacentral:rRNA from 1 species
GACGAACGCUGGCGGCGUGCUUAACACAUGCAAGUCGAACGGAAAGGCCCUGCUUUUGUGGGUUGCUCGAGUGGCGAACGGGUGAGUAACACGUGAGUAACCUGCCCUUGACUUUGGGAUAACUUCUGGAAACUGGGGCUCAUACCGGAUAGGAGCUCCUGCUGCAUGGUGGGGGUUGGAAAGUUUCGGCGGUUGGGGAUGGACUCGCGGCUUAUCAGCUUGUUGGUGGGGUAGUGGCUUACCAAGGCUUUGACGGGUAGCCGGCCUGAGAGGGUGACCGGCCACAUGGGGACUAAGAUACGGCCCAGACUCCUACGGGAGGCAGCAGUGGGGAGUAUUACGCAAUGAGCGGAAGCCUGAUGCAGAAACGCUGGGUGCGGGAUGACGGCCUUCGGGUUGUAAACCGAUUUCGCCUGUGACGAAGCGUGAGUGACGGUAAUGGGUAAGGAAGCACCGGCUAACUACGUG